rnacentral:lncRNA from 1 species
CUGGGCAGGUGCUGCGGGCUCUGCCGAAAGCGCUGAAAUAAAAAACCAUCGCCACUCAGGGAGAACUGAGGCAAGUGGGGCUGAGACUCUGGCGACACCCCCGCCCCCCAGCCUCUGCCCCAGCGCCUGCCGCCCUGCCGCCCUGCCGCACCCCGCCUGCUUGGGUGGCGACCGCGGUUCCGGAACGCGAAGCAGGGCAGAGGGCUGCAGAGAGGCGUGUAGCUUUGUGCGCCAGGACCCGGUGGGGCAGGUGGCAGCCCCGGGCUGUCCGCGCCUCCCAGCAGAGCCGAGCUCGGCGCCGCCCACCGAGCCCACCUCGCGGUCCAGCCGCCGCCAGCGCCUUUCGGCUCUGGCCUGAAGCAGUACUCCCGCCUCCUGGAGCGGGGAAAGCCAACGGGUCUGCAGGCCUCCGGGAGACGAGGAUCCGGAGGGUUGGGGCAGCUGCACCCACUUGGCCUUGCUCAGCUCUAAACAGCCGACCAGGAGGCCGGGGGAAGGUUUGCCCUGUGGGGGCAACGCCCCUUCCGGCUCCCAGGAUGUCGGGAGGCGGAGGCUGGCCGGGUGGCCCGUAGUCUGGGCCUCCCCGCAAGCUGCAAACUGAGGCGCUUGGCGCGGGCGGCCAGGGAGGGCGCAGGGGAGCGCAGCACGCAGGCGGGGAGGCCGCGAAGCCCUUCAAGGACCCCGAUUACUUUCCUUUGAAAAACAACAACAACAACUGCUCCCUCCCCGCACCCCCGCCCCCCGCCUUAGCCUCCGGGGACUGGCGCUCCAAGCAAUUGUCGCCCCGGACAGUAAACACAGCUCAGUUGCCUCAACUUUCUCCAUGCAUAAAAGUUCCUGGCGUGCGGGGAAAUUUGAAUAUUUGAUCAGCCCCUUUGAGUGACCCUCAUUAGUCCGGCGCCCUGCUAAGGCCGGGCAUUGCAAGAAAGCUGCUGGGCUCGGCAUUUGUACGCCUUGUUAGCGCAGCUUAAUGAAGCCGCCCCGACGGCUCAAAGGCGGCCUCAGGGGCCGGCGACGCGCACCUCUCGGCACCCUGCUCUGCCUAAUGAGCCCCGCCGCCCUCUAAAGGACCCUCCACCCCCCACAUUCUGAAACAGGGGAAGUUUGGCUCUGUCUUGAACCACGGCACCUCCCACUGCCAGGCCCAGGAGGGUGGGCACAAACCCAGCCUAGCUGCCUGCAGUUACCCAUUCCCAAGAGAGAGGGGCUGGAGAGUUGGGAGGUGUGAGCCAUACUGGUUGGGGGCAGUGCAGGGAGGGGAGCGGGUGGCAGGAGAGGCUUUUGCUGUCUCAGGAUCCAGCCCAGGGAGUGCACUGCCAGCCUCUCCCAAGUGGACCAAUUGCAAAUCAAUUAGUCACUCCAGUUCCUUAAAGGUGCAUCUGGACUAAUGCUGGGGUGGCUGAGGGUCAGCCUUCCAUCCUCCUAUCACCUUAGGUUCCCUUGGCUUCCACUGCCCAGAGGCCACACACUUCUUCCCAAGGUUCCCCUUCUGAACAGCCAGACCUGGUGUGCCAGGACUUGGAUUUGAGAAAGGGUGGGCAGCUCCCCUCCCUAACCCAUCAUUGCCUCCACCAUUCACAGAGCCCAGUCACAUGUUAUGACAAGUGGCAGUAGGGAAGGCAGGGGACCACAGCCCGUCCUGCACUCCCCCUCAACAGAGGUAUCCCUUCUUUGGCUUCUAGUCCCAGGGAGGCCUGGCAAAAAAAGUGCUAUAGGCAAGACCACCCUGCAAGACUGGCCUGGCAGCCUGGCAGAGAGGCAGAGAGCCAGAGCCCUGGAAGGAAGGGAAACCAAAGCAGUCAUCUACUUCACCUUUUCUUAGUGGGGCAGCUGACAUGGCUGGCCAGUAAAUAUAAGACACCCUCUUAAAAAUUGUGCUUCAGUCCUCAGGAAGUGUAGCCUUCCUUCCCUUUCUGUCUCCCCUCUCCUCUGAUGCCCUUUUCCCUGGACAGUCGGAGCUCAAGGUCCUUCACUCCCUCCUUGCAUACACAGCUCUUGGGCCCUUAAGGGUUACUUUUGGGGGGAAUUAAUGCUCUGGGCUUGGGAAGCAGGCUGCUCCAAAUCCACACUCAGGACUUUCUGGACCCCACCCCCCAACACACAAACACAAACAUGCCCAGGAUCCCUCAGACACACAGUGGGCCUGGUCAGGUUGGUAACCUCAGGACCCCGUGCCCGCGUGAGCGUCUCUGGGAGGUCGUGGAAAGGAACCAAAAGGCCAGGUAGGCCCUGGGAUACAGAGAGCCCUCCAAGUCCAUCUGGUUUGCUUCUCUUCCUUUCUCUCUCCCUAGCUCCGCUAGCAUGCCCUGCCCCAUUUCCCAUCACAUAACCCCCUAACUUAACCCUAAACUGGCAAUCUUUAGGCAUCACCUCUGAGCUGGGCAAAGGCGGUGCCCGGGCCUUGAUCGACCCAGAGGGCUAAAGUAGGGGCGGGGAAGGGAGGGGUGUGCGCUGCUGGUGAGAAAGGGGACCUGAGGCGAGGGUAGAACUCAGCCCUGUGGCCUCGAGGCCAGGCCCACCGGCUGCUCAGGGGAGGAGGCGAGGGGAGGGGGCUGGGAGUCCGCAGGCAUCGGUCGGGGCAGCAGGGACCUCAGGCGUCGGCGUGGGGGGCUAGAUCCGGAGGAGAGGGGAGGGGAGGCGGGGGUCGGGGGAUCGCGCAGGGCGGAGGAGGGGUGCAGCUCUUUAAGAGCCACACGGCUGGCAGGAGAGGCGCGCGGCCCGGUGCUGGUAGAGCACUGACCCCGAAGGGGAUUUAGCGGGAAGAGAGUGGCCGGGCUCUGGGGGUUUUGUCCGAGGGGGCCGGGAGAGGCCGAGACACAAGAAUAAGGAGCGGCCGCGGCAUGAAAGGCGGCGAGGAGAGGCAGCACUGCUGCUCUUGACUUCUGAGCAGGGCUUAGAGAGCCUGCCCCGGCUUAAGCCGAGCUGCUGGUGCUGACCCUGAGCGCCGAGUCCGCGAGCUCUGAGUCCGGAGCCUCCCAGCCGUGGAGCCGUGGGAUGAGGGGGGCGUUGGGGGACAGGGCAAAGUCGAUCUUGGUUGUACAGCCGCCCGAUCCUAGCGCGGAGCUGCGAGCCUGACCGGCCGCGUCUGGCAUGGUCAGAGAAAGAAUUUUCUUUUCCCAACUCCGGCUUUUGGUUUUGUGUGUCCACCUUGCGCAACUCCGGAGCCAGCCGACCCCACAUGGAUUCUCAACAGGUGGCCGGGUAAGUCCGUUUAAAGAAUUCUGGUUAUAUGGUCAGCCCCUCCCCGACCUUCUUCCUUUUCCCCUCCCUCUUCCCCCUUUGGCUGGGCCGGGUUCCCCGUGCUCCUCCCGCAGGCGACGGCUGGGGUGGUGGUGGGGGAAGAGGCGCCCUUCCCCUGGGGGUCUCUGGGCUCCGAGUUGCAGCCCAGGAAGCCUGGCGGGCGGCCCCCAAGGAGUUCCACCCGGUACCCCCAAGUCCCGAUCACUCUUAGCUCCUUGGUCUGGGCCCUGGCGCCCUGAGAGGGGGAGGGAGAAAGAACGCGCAGCAGCACCUCAAAAGCCGAAGUCCCCGGGAAGGGGGACAGGGGACCCGGUGGCCGGGCAGCCUUUGUGUGGGGGUUUACGGCGGAAACAGAACUAUUCUUCUUGUGUGAGAGGCCCGGGAUGUGGCCAGGGGGAGCCCGCGCCAGCCGUACAAUAGCCGGCAGAAGAGCGCCUCAGCAGCCGGGGUAGGAGUGGGGUAGGGUGGGGUAGACCUGGGUGGGGGAGGGGAGGGCGAGAGAAGAGGGAGGGGAAGCAGAGAAAGGCAAAGGCGAGAAAUCCAGGGCGUCCGAGUGAAAAGUCGGAAAAUGUUUCCAGAGCGCGCCACAAACAGGCGCGCGCGCGCGCUUGCGGGCGCAUAGUCUCUCUGUCUCUCUCUCGCACACACACAAACACACUCUUACAUGCUCACACUCAUUCCACACAUGGAGCCCACGCACGCGGUUCCUAGUCGUGCAGGGUCGCAUGCCUGGGCACCCAAAGUGAACGCAGAGUAGAGCCGCCCUCCCACCCCCACCAACGGAGAGCCCUCCCGCCCAGCCACAGGCUCCCCGACUGGGGAGCUAGGAGGGCCCCCGGGGCUGGGGCACAGGGAGGAUCUUACCUGCCGAAAGGUAAGGGAAGCCGGGAGCACGGAGCAGCGGCGGAUAAAUAUUCAUUAGUAAGUCUCUCCUUUUAAGCCGCGCGGUGCGCUCUCUGGCUCCUAUCUCUCUUUCCCUCCCUCCCUCUGUCCUCUUGUGAGCCUCUCUCCCCCUCUCGCUCUGUCUUCCCCCCACCCCUUCCUGCGAAAUGCCGGGUGGAUCCCAGUAUAGCUAACCUGUUGGGAAGCCUGAGCCGCGGGCAGCGCCUCCACAGCUGUUUGCUUUUGCUCUUGGGGCGCGCGUUUCCCCAUCCUCUCCCCUCUCUCCUUUUGCCCAGCCCCUCUCCCCCUCCUAAAUUACUACAUCAUUAGCUUUAUUUGGUGGGGGGACAGCUCAGCCAAACGCACCUCCCUAUAGCAGGGUGAAAAGCCGCUGCUCCCCGAGGCAGCCCCAACUCCACCCCUACCCCUGCCUCACCCAUCUCCAUGUCCCUACCCAGUUUUGUUUAUUUUUCUUCUCUCUUUCCAUCUUCACUUCCGUCCUGUACCGACCCAACUCCCUUACCAUUCCUCCCUUCCUCGUCGCUGCCAAUACGGAUCCCAGACGGGGUCGGGGCAGGGAGAUGCCAAGUGAGUAGGUCCAAUAUGCCAAGGUCGGGACUCCACCCUGCCAUGGGCGUGGGGGUAGUCCUCCAGGUCCCCCUUUCCCACGUAGGCUUUCCACCCUGACCCUAAGUGGGUACCGGGGCAGCUUGGGCCUUGGGAUCAGAGCACCAGGGCGCACAGCAAGGGCCUCAGCCCUCCAGGCCUCAGCGACCUGGAGCCUGGGUCCUUUGACCCGGUCUGGGAGACUGCAUGGCGGAGGGGAGGUGGCUUCACUUUGUACGAAUGCUCAGGAGAGACACAACCACCGACCAUCGGACUGACGUUCUCCCUUUUCAAACAAACUGACCUUAAGUCAGCAGUAAGUCUGCAUCAUUCUCACGAGAAAACACAUCUACAAGAUUCUAGAAAUGCACAAGGAACCGCUUCUAGUCGCGCGUGAACACGUGCACACACACCACACCCCUCACCCCCACACACCCGAGGCCACCGUUCCCGCUGGCCUCUGAAACCUGUAGGCGCGCAGGCCCGAAAGGCUAAUUCUAGCGGAGGAAUACAUCGCAAAACCGCCCCAGGAGAGCCCUGGCCACUCUUGUUGGCCCCCAUUCUUCCAGAUCCAGGCCUCUAGGAUGCCCCAGGGACCCUGAAGGAUGGUGAGGCCCCAGGGUGCUUGGGGGUGGUCCGGGAAGCUCACUCUGGCAGCCCGCUGAGCGCUGCGUGUUGAGGUAGGAGCUGGAGGAGGGGCCAAGGGAGGCGGGCCCAGGCCAAUUCCAAGUUACAAAUACAGCUGCUCCUGCGAGGCCUAGGAGAGUUUUGCCCCAAAACGUGCAUAUCAUUCGCCCCGAGACGCCAUGACCUCCCCAGACAUAGCCCCAGGGCGCACUCGACCUCGAGGUGGCUUGGGUGAUGGGAGCAAUCGAGAGCCAGGAGACGACCUCGAGACCUCCGCCCGCCCAUUCAGCCCGGCCCAGCCACAGUCCACCGAGAGACGCCCUAGAUGAUGGUCCUAUCCUUCCCAAAGGGUGGCAAGGCGCAGGAUCGCGGAGGGUCUCCCUCCUUGUCCUGAAAGGUUAAGAAAUUGGGCAGAUGAAGGUAUUUAAAAGAGGCCUAGAGGGCCCUGGGGCCGAAAGCCCUAUCAACCUCACACUCCACCCAAAGUCCCGCGUUUGCACGUGCACACCUCCUUCUCCCCAUGCAGACCCAGGGGGUCGCGCACGUUUGAGCUCAGACUCAAGCUGAGUCACCUGACUAUGCCUGGAACGUACAGGCAAUCGUACCGAAUACACAUGGGAGAAUUAAAGGAACACUACGGGAGAAUUAAAGGAACACUAACAGGAAUUUGAGGAAUAAAGAAGUGCCCACAGGCAUAAUUAUUUGAAUACACGGGUGCACACCCUGUUGUCCAGAUGCAGACAAAAGCCACAGUGCCUGCGAGGAGUGACCCCAACCACAAGGGCAGAUGUACAGGAAGCCGUGAACGGGAGAGUUCGCCGAAUGAGGACGCAGGCCGCAAGGCCAAGGGGGCUUCCUGCUAGAGGGACGUUGGCUCGGAGGGAGAAACUUUGUUGAGCCGACUGGGUGAAAGGUUUCAGGUCAAGUCCUGGCCACUAGAAAGAACCAAGGCCUCAUCCACUCAGAGCCAACCUUUUAGCCUUCCUCUCAGCUCUGUUGGAGAUACCCAGAAAAGGACAAUCCAGGAAAGAUUCAUUUUGACCGAGAUUGUUUUUAUUGUUUAUUUCUUAUUAUUUUUGACCUAGGGGUUUGCAUUCUGAAAAAGGAUUUGGGUGGCGCGUAUGCAAGUUCUCACUCACUGCUGGGAGAUUCAUAAUUCUUAAUAGGAACAUUCAGCUCUAACCAUGGCCUGAGAAGCUGGAGGGCCCUUAUUUUGCCCCUUUCACCCUUCUUAUCCUAAACUUGAUCAUUCAAAAGGAUCCACACCCUCCUGCCCCCAACUCCACCCCAAUACCCUGUAUGUCAGAUAUGUUUGCAGAAGAACACACUUCAAAGUAAACCAAAUUACAUAGUUUAUUUAAAAAAAUUUUUUGUGAUAUAUUGGGAAGUCCUCACCCCCUGCUCCCCUGUCUCUGGCUGAGCACGGUGUCCGGGCGGAGUUGGGGGGUUGCCAAGAGGAGUUUCCAGAGUGGCUCUUGGGCAAGGCCUGAGAAACUACUCUACAUAGGCUUGUUUUUAGUGUGAGCUCCCUUUGCCUAACCAGUUCUAGUGGCUACCUCCCGGUUUCCUGCAGAAGAGGCAGGCUCCCUGGGAGCAGGGGCGCCCUCGCUUCCACUUCACCUCCUUUCCUAACUUUCUCUCUUUUGAGCACAUCUUCUGAGCCUCGCUCUCUCAUCUGAAAGUGGAGUGUAAGUCCAAGAAGAUUCAUUUAGACAAAGAAGGUGGAAAAAAAGGACUUUCUGGGCCAGCAAGUCGGAUGACCACCCUCCAAGGGGCAGAGGAGGGCCCAUUUUGUGAAGAAGAAAUCAACUACCCGGAAAACGCCACAGGAGGACAUGUUUCUGCAGAUGUAGUUGCCCUAGAAACAGAAGAGUAUGGGGGUGUGAAUGUCUUCUCUUUUGGGGGCAAACACUAUGUCCUUUUCUUUUUCUAGAUACAGUUAAUUCCUGGAAAUUUUAGCGAGUUUGUUCUUGUGGAUAUUUUGAACAAUAAAGAGUGAAAA